rnacentral:rRNA from 1 species
CCUACGGGUGGCAGCAGUCGAGAAUCAUUCACAAUGGGGGAAACCCUGAUGGUGCGACGCCGCGUGGGGGAAUGAAGGUCUUCGGAUUGUAAACCCCUGUCAUGUGGGAGCAAAUUAAAAAGAUAGUACCACAAGAGGAAGAGACGGCUAACUCUGUGCCAGCAGCCGCGGUAAUACAGAGGUCUCAAGCGUUGUUCGGAAUCACUGGGCGUAAAGGGUGCGUAGGCUGUUUCGUAAGUCGUGUGUGAAAGGCGCGGGCUCAACCCGCGGACGGCACAUGAUACUGCGUGACUAGAGUAAUGGAGGGGGAACCGGAAUUCGUGGUGUAGCAGUGAAAUGCGUAGAUAUCGAGAGGAACACUCGUGGCGAAGGCGGGUUCCUGGACAUUAACUGACGCUGAGGCACGAAGGCCAGGGGAGCGAAAGGGAUUAGAUACCCGUGUAGUC